UGCAAGUCGAACGGUAACAGGCCUUCGGGCGCUGACGAGUGGCGGACGGGUGAGUAACGCGUAGGAAUCUGCCUCAUAGUGGGGGACAACGUGGGGAAACUCACGCUAAUACCGCAUACGCCCUACGGGGGAAAGCGGGGGAUCUUCGGACCUCGCGCUAUGAGAUGAGCCUGCGUUAGAUUAGCUAGUUGGUAGGGUAAAGGCCUACCAAGGCGACGAUCUAUAGCUGGUCUGAGAGGACGAUCAGCCACACUGGGACUGAGACACGGCCCAGACUCCUACGGGAGGCAGCAGUGGGGAAUAUUGGACAAUGGGCGAAAGCCUGAUCCAGCAAUACCGCGUGUGUGAAGAAGGCCUUAGGGUUGUAAAGCACUUUCAAUUGGGAGGAAAACCUACCGGUCAAUACCCGGUAGCUUGACAUUACCUUUAGAAGAAGCACCGGCUAACUCCGUGCCAGCAGCCGCGGUAAUACGGAGGGUGCGAGCGUUAAUCGGAAUUACUGGGCGUAAAGCGUGCGUAGGCGGUUCGUUAAGUCAGAUGUGAAAGCCCUGGGCUCAACCUGGGAACUGCAUUUUGAAACUGGCGGACUAGAGUUUAGUAGAGGGGAGUGGAAUUUCAGGUGUAG
rnacentral:rRNA from 1 species